ACCUGUGCACCAACCCCAUACUCUCUUGAAUCAACAGGCAGACCAAGUUCUUCAUUAGCUUCAACAGUAUCACGUCCAGCAUCUUGUAAAUUAUAAGCACGAAGUUUGUGACCCAAACCAAUGCCUCUACCCUCAUGACCACGGAGGUAAACCAAAACCCCCCUGCCAGCAGCCUCAAUUUGUUGCAUUGCAAUUGCCAGCUGGUUUCCACAGUCACAUCUCGCUGAACCGAAUAUAUCUCCUGUGAGACAUUCCGAGUGUACCCGGACAAGAAUAUCUUGUCCGUCUCCUAUAUCUCCCUGGUCAUUCAACAAACUCAUCCCAAAUUAGUACCAAACACGAAAUGAACUAGUCAAGACGAAUGCUCCCAUACUAUGCAGUAAUAAAAUUCUCUACAAGGAUGCCAAAAGGUAAAGUGAUGUAAGAUACAGUAGUAAAAGUGCUUGUCCCCCCUUCCUCUUAAGAAAACGAUGGAACUUCAUGCUUCAAAUAGAGAAGACAUACGUAUAAAACCACACCUGAACUAUCCUUUUUUUUUUUAGUUUCAUACCUAAACUAUUGAGAGCGUGAAUUUCAUACCUAAACUAUCACUUAUUAGUCUGAAAAACACACUAAACUAGAAAUGUAUGUACAAUUUUGACUAGUCAAACCACUGCUGAAGAUAUAAGCGAGAAUAUCCCCAAAGUUGCUCACCUUAACCAUAGCAAUGUGCUCAAUUCCAUCUAUUAUUGACUUGAAGCAAUGGGCAGUAAAUGGGCCCCACAUAGUAGGUAUUCUUGCAGCAGAAGCAUGCUCUACCAACUGAUCUGUUUUCCUCCUAUAUCUGUAAAAGGAAGUAAUUGUCAGAUGAUGUAUUCUUGAACCACUAAAAGAAUGCUUGCUCUCAAGCAUUUGCUGGNAAUGGGAGUCAGAAUGGGGACUCUACCAGAAAUUGCCAAACCAUAACCCUUCAGUCCACUGUAUUUUGCAGGAUUGUUUGUCAUCAGCCUCAUAGUUCGAACACCAAGAUCCCUUAAGAUCUGCACAAGGAUGUCAUUUUAGUUUUUCUUUAAGACAACUAGAUUUACACAAAAAAUCACAGCAACAUCCAGAGAGAGCUUAUAUAGGAAGUGAGUACCUGUGCACCAACCCCAUACUCUCUUGAAUCAACAGGCAGACCAAGUUCUUCAUUAGCUUCAACAGUAUCACGUCCAGCAUCUUGUAAAUUAUAAGCACGAAGUUUGUGACCCAAACCAAUGCCUCUACCCUCAUGACCACGGAGGUAAACCAAAACCCCCCUGCCAGCAGCCUCAAUUUGUUGCAUUGCAAUUGCCAGCUGGUUUCCACAGUCACAUCUCGCUGA
rnacentral:lncRNA from 1 species